GACCCAGUAGCGAAGUGCAUCGCGCCCGCAAAGCUUAUGUCUGUUAGAUAGUAUCAUACUUUCGCGGGAAUGAAUCCUGGUUCGAAUCCAGGCUGGGUCG